rnacentral:rRNA from 1 species
UACAGAGGUCUCAAGCGUUGUUCGGAUUCAUUGGGCGUAAAGGGUGCGUAGGCGGCACGGUAAGUCGGGUGUGAAAUCUCGGAGCUUAACUCCGAAACUGCAUUCGAUACUGCCGUGCUUGAGGACUGGAGAGGAGACUGGAAUUUACGGUGUAGCGGUGAAAUGCGUAGAUAUCGUAAGGAAGACCAGUGGCGAAGGCGGGGCUCUGGACAGUUCCUGACGCUGAGGCACGAAAGUCAGGGGAGCAAACAGG